UGAGUGCGCUUGGUAUGCUUCUGGAAGCACGGAGCGCUCCGUGCUUCCAAGUUGUUUUCGAUGUUCGGACUUUCGAAUCGACGAUCGGCUCCGUUAGACUUGAUCUAGAGUAUUUGAAAUUUCUAGAAAAUAAAUUUUGCGAUUUUUCGAUAUCAUUUGCCUAGUGAUCUAAGUGGCUCAAAAUUAACGGCUGAAAAUAAAAAUCUUACAAAAGAUGAUGAUAUGACAUUAAAAUUUUAGAUCAAAGUUAUUGAUCUUGUUUUAUACGGUAUAAAGAAUUUUUUAGCAAAAUUUCAUGUGAUUUGGAUAUUUCUACACCGUUAAACUUGCAAACAGCUCACCACGGCCGUUAAAAUUAUUGAUUUUGAGCCCUUUCGAUCACUAGGCAAAUGAUAUCGAAAAAUCACAAAAUUUAUUUUCUAUAUACUUCAAAUACUCUAGAUCAACUCUAACGGAGCCGAUCAUCGAUUCGAAAAUCCGAACAUCGAAAACAACUUGGAAGCACGGAAGACUCCGUGCUUCCAAAAGCAUACCAGCCCACUCUAUAUAUAUAUAUAUAUGGGCUAAUGCUCCUAUCCUAUUAAUAGGAUAGGAGCACUUGUCCUAUCAAGUUGUUCUUGAUGAUCGAGAUUCCGAAUCGAUGAUCGGAGCCGUUGAAAUUGAUCUAGAAUAUUUGAAAUAUCUAAAAACUAAAUUUCAUAAAUUUUGAUAAUGGUUUACAUGGUGAUCAAAGUGUCGUAAAAUCGACAAUUUUUUACAGCCUAUAUGAGCCGUUUGCUUGUUUAACGGUAUAAAGCAAUUCAAAUUGCUUGAAUUUUUGAUAGAAAAUUUUUUAUACUAUUUAGAUAAUGUUUGAAAACUCUGAUUACGAACUGAGAAAGUCUAACCUCUAUUUUAAGGAGGUUAUUCAUUUAUGACCGUUCAUUUUUCAACUCUUAAGAUGAACUUGAUAAUGAUUUUUAAAUAAUACAAAAUUUGGUUUCUAAAUAUUUCUAAUUGUGUAGAUCAACUUCAAUGGUGCCGAUUAUCAAUUUGAAGUUCCGAUCAUUCAAAUCGACUUGACGAUCGGCUCCGUUAGACUUGAUCUAGAGUAUUUGAAGUAUCUAGAAAAUAAAUUUUGCAAUUUUUCAAUAUCAUUUGCCUAGUGAUCGAAGUGGCUCAAAAUCAACGGCUGAAAAUAAAAAUCUUACAAAAUAUGAUGAUAUGACAUUAUAAUUUUAGAUCAAAGUUUUUGAUCGUGUUUUAUAUGGUAUAAAGAAUUUUCUAUCAAAAUUUCAUGUGAUUUGGAUAUUUUUACACCGUUAAACUUGCAACCGGCUCACCACGGCCAUUAAAAUUAUUGAUUUUGAGCCCCUUCGAUCAGUAGGCAAAUGAUAUCGAAAAAUCGCAAAAUUUAUUUUCUAGGUACUUUAAAUACUCUAGAUCAAGUCUAAUGGAGCCGAUCGUCGAUUCGAAAGUCCGAACAUCGAAAACAAAGUGGAAGUACGAAGCCCUCCGUGCUUCCAUAAGCAUUCUAGUCGGACUCUAUAUAUAUAUAUAUA
rnacentral:lncRNA from 1 species